rnacentral:rRNA from 1 species
CUGGCUCAGAACGAACGCUGGUGGCGUGUCUUAUACAUGCAAGUCGAGCGAAGCAGCAAUGCCGAGCGGCGAACGGGUGAGUAACGCGUAAGCAAUCUGCCCCAUAUCAGGAAAUACCCGUGCCAACGCGCGGUUAAUGUCCAGGAGAGUGGCCCCCUGCAUGGGGGGUUGACUAGAGAUUUAUCGGUAUGGGAUGAGCUUGCGUCCGAUUAGCUAGUUGGCGGGCAACGGCCCACCAAGGCGACGAUCGGUAGCCGGCCUGAGAGGGUGAUCGGCCACAUUGGGACUGAGAUACGGCCCAGACUCCUACGGGAGGCAGCAGUAGGGAAUAUUGCACAAUGGGGGAAACCCUGAUGCAGCAACGCCACGUGGUUGGGAAGAAGCAUUUCGGUGUGUAAACCACUGUCAUGAGGGAAUAAGGCCCUUAUUCGUAAGGGAUUGAAUGUACCUUGAGAGGAAGCACCGGCAAACUUCGUGCCAGCAGCAGC